CAAUCUGCAGUUUAAUCCAAAGCUUGAGAUGGCAGCUUAUGCAGCUCUGGCUUCUCUCUUGAACACCAUUCCACAGAUGAUGACCCAUCCUACUCUUUCCACUUCUUUCCACAACAAUCAGAUCCAAUCCCUUAAGGAGAAGGCUGAUUUGUUGCUCGAUUUCAUAGAGACCUAUAACUAUGUUGGUGGAGUUAGCGAAGAAGCGCAAGAUCUCGAAAGCCUAAUCGCAUCUGCAGCUCAUACGGCUGAAGAUGUGAUUGAAUCACACAUCGUCAAUCAACUCCUUCCUCUUUCACCUCAUGAUCGCAAGCAGCUUUGAGUUCUUCUUUGUAUCAACACAACGA
rnacentral:lncRNA from 1 species